rnacentral:misc_RNA from 1 species
CUGAAGAAACAAGGGUCUUGAGACUGCGCCGUUCCAAUGUGGCGGCGUGUGCUCGACCCUUACUCUUUCAUCCAUUCACACCUGUGCACCAAGGGGACAUUGGGUUGUCCCCCUUUUUUAUAUUAUAAAUACCGAGUUUAUAUGUAUGUCAUAAUGCUCUACGGAGUAAUAAAAUAAAUA